AUUGAACGCUGGCGGCAGGCCUAACACAUGCAAGUCGAGCGGAUGAAGGGAGCUUGCUCCUGGAUUCAGCGGCGGACGGGUGAGUAAUGCCUAGGAAUCUGCCUGGUAGUGGGGGAUAACGUCCGGAAACGGGCGCUAAUACCGCAUACGUCCUGAGGGAGAAAGUGGGGGAUCUUCGGACCUCACGCUAUCAGAUGAGCCUAGGUCGGAUUAGCUAGUUGGUGGGGUAAAGGCCUACCAAGGCGACGAUCCGUAACUGGUCUGAGAGGAUGAUCAGUCACACUGGAACUGAGACACGGUCCAGGCGCCUACGGGAGGCAGCAGUGGGGAAUAUUAGACAAUGGGCGAAAGCCUGAUCCAGCCAUGCCGCGUGUGUGAAGAAGGUCUUCGGAUUGUAAAGCACUUUAAGUUGGGAGGAAGGGCAGUAAGUUAAUACCUUGCUGUUUUGACGUUACCAACAGAAUAAGCACCGGCUAACUUCGUG
rnacentral:rRNA from 1 species